rnacentral:rRNA from 1 species
GUGGCGAACGGGUGAGUAACACGUGGGCAAUCUGCCCUUCACUCUGGGACAAGCCCUGGAAACGGGGUCUAAUACCGGAUAACACUCUGUCCCGCAUGGGACGGGGUUAAAAGCUCCGGCGGUGAAGGAUGAGCCCGCGGCCUAUCAGCUUGUUGGUGGGGUAAUGGCCUACCAAGGCGACGACGGGUAGCCGGCCUGAGAGGGCGACCGGCCACACUGGGACUGAGACACGGCCCAGACUCCUACGGGAGGCAGCAGUGGGGAAUAUUGCACAAUGGGCGAAAGCCUGAUGCAGCGACGCCGCGUGAGGGAUGACGGCCUUCGGGUUGUAAACCUCUUUCAGCAGGGAAGAAGCGAAAGUGACGGUACCUGCAGAAGAAGCGCCGGCUAACUACGUGCCAGCAGCCGCGGUAAUACGUAGGGCGCAAGCGUUGUCCGGAAUUAUUGGGCGUAAAGAGCUCGUAGGCGGCUUGUCACGUCGGAUGUGAAAGCCCGGGGCUUAACCCCGGGUCUGCAUUCGAUACGGGCUAGCUAGAGUGUGGUAGGGGAGAUCGGAAUUCCUGGUGUAGCGGUGAAAUGCGCAGAUAUCAGGAGGAACACCGGUGGCGAAGGCGGAUCUCUGGGCCAUUACUGACGCUGAGGAGCGAAAGCGUGGGGAGCGAACAGGAUUAGAUACCCUGGUAGUCCACGCCGUAAACGUUGGGAACUAGGUGUUGGCGACAUUCCACGUCGUCGGUGCCGCAGCUAACGCA